GUAAGGAAUAUUGGUCAAUGGACGAAAGUCUGAACCAGCCAUGCCGCGUGAAGGAUGAAGGCCCUCUGGGUUGUAAACUUCUUUUAUCUGGGACGAAAAAAGGGUAUUCUUACUCACUUGACGGUACCAGAGGAAUAAGCACCGGCUAACUCCGUGCCAGCAGCCGCGGUAAUACGGAGGGUGCAAGCGUUAUCCGGAUUCACUGGGUUUAAAGGGUGCGUAGGUGGGUAUUUAAGUCAGUGGUGAAAUCUCCGAGCUUAACUCGGAAACUGCCAUUGAUACUAUUUACCUUGAAUGCCCUGGAGGUAAGCGGAAUAUGUCAUGUAGCGGUGAAAUGCUUAGAUAUGACAUAGAACACCAAUUGCGAAGGCAGCUUACUACGGGGUGAUUGACACUGAGGCACGAAAGCGUGGGGAGCAAACAGGAUUAGAAACCCCUGUAGUCC
rnacentral:rRNA from 1 species